UACGGGGGGAGCAAGCGUUGUUCGGAUUUACUGGGCGUAAAGGGCGCGUAGGCGGUCGUGACAAGUCACUUGUGAAAUCUCCGGGCUUAACUCGGAACGGUCAAGUGAUACUGUCGGACUAGAGUGCAGAAGGGGCAACUGGAAUUCUCGGUGUAGCGGUGAAAUGCGUAGAUAUCGAGAGGAACACCUGCGGCGAAGGCGGGUUGCUGGGCUGACACUGACGCUGAGGCGCGAAAGCCAGGGGAGCGAAUGGG
rnacentral:rRNA from 1 species